GUCUGUGCGAAUCGCCCUUACCUCACCCGAUUCUGUCGGAUCUUGGAAGCUACGCAGGUUUUAGCCUGGUUAGUACUUCGAUGGUAGACGGCCUGCGAAUACCAAGACGUUGUGGGCU
rnacentral:rRNA from 1 species